rnacentral:rRNA from 1 species
AUUGAACGCUGGCGGCAUGCCUUACACAUGCAAGUCGAACGGCAGCACGGGAGCUUGCUCCUGGUGGCGAGUGGCGAACGGGUGAGUAAUACAUCGGAACGUACCCAGGAGUGGGGGAUAACGUAGCGAAAGUUACGCUAAUACCGCAUAUUCUGUGAGCAGGAAAGCGGGGGAUCGCAAGACCUCGCGCUCUUAGAGCGGCCGAUGUCGGAUUAGCUAGUUGGUGAGGUAAAAGCUCACCAAGGCGACGAUCCGUAGCAGGUCUGAGAGGAUGAUCUGCCACACUGGGACUGAGACACGGCCCAGACUCCUACGGGAGGCAGCAGUGGGGAAUUUUGGACAAUGGGGGCAACCCUGAUCCAGCCAUGCCGCGUGAGUGAAGAAGGCCUUCGAGUUGUAAAGCUCUUUCGGCGGGGAAGAAAUGGCAACGGCUAAUAUCCGUUGUUGAUGACGGUACCCGCAUAAGAAGCACCGGCUAACUACGUGCCAGCCGCCGCGGUAACAC